rnacentral:rRNA from 1 species
GACAGAGGGUGCGAACGUUGCUCGGAAUUACUGGGCGUAAAGCGCGUGUAGGCGGGUGCGCAAGUCCGUUGUGAAAUCCCUGGGCUCAACCCAGGAACUGCAUCGGAAACUGCGUGUCUUGAGUAAUGGAGAGGGAAGUGGAAUUCCCGGUGUAGAGGUGAAAUUCGUAGAUAUCGGGAGGAACACCAGUGGCGAAGGCGGCUUCCUGGACAUUUACUGACGCUGAGACGCGAAAGCGUGGGGAGCAAACAGG